rnacentral:rRNA from 1 species
GAUUUCUGAACACAAGUGUCUGGUCGGCCACGGUUUCGUGUGUUAGUGCUUGACCCUUGGUUCAUCCUUUCAAUUGCUAUGGAUGGAUCUUCAUUGAUUGGUCCGUAGUAUUGAAUCUUUUACUUUGAAAAAAUUAGAGUGUUUCAAGCAGGCUUUAUGCUAUGAAUACAUUAGCAUGGAAUAAUAAUUUAGGACUUCGGUUCUAUUUUGUUGGUUUCUAGGACUGAAGUAAUGAUUGAUAGGGAUAGUUGGGGGUGCUAGUAUUCAGCGGCCAGAGGUGAAAUUCUCGGAUUCGCUGAAGACUAACUUAUGCGAAAGCAUU